rnacentral:lncRNA from 1 species
GUUUAAAGAAGGGUUUGGGAAAAUAGGCCCAGAGGAAUAAAGGCAAAAUAUCAAAUGAACAGUGUUCCUUUACUUCCACAUCUAUGUGGUUGUCUCUAUGGGUAUUUGUGAAUUUGCCCUCAGAUGCUUGCUUACUUCUUUAGCAACUUCAUUUAGCUGAAAUAAGAAAACCCCAAAGAGCUGGGCAUGGUGGCCCACGCCUGUAAUCCCAGCACUUUGAGAGGCUGAGGUGGGCGGAUCACUUGAGGCCAGGAGUUUGAGACCAGCCUGGCCAACAUGGUGAAACCCCAUCUCUAUAAAAAAUAAAAAAAAUUAGCCAGGUGUGG